CCUGAGUAUCUUCAUCUGGCACCAGAAAAGUUUGCCAUCAGGAAAGAAGCAUCCAAGUUGACUUGAUGACUUGAGAAAGAGUUUUCUAUCUCUGUUUCAGUGUAUCUGGUGAUAACGACUAAAUGGAAGGGCAACAAAGACAAAGAAGUGGAGACAGUCUCUCUGGACAGAAAGAACAGAGUCCAGCUGAAGAACCUUUCUUCAACCAUCAGUGCAAAUGAGUUCACAUUUACUAAAGAAGUUUAACUAUGGAUGGAACUUACCAUCAUCAAAGGAAAUUCUGUCUGUCACACAUGAACAUCAUUAUAGAGAGAUACAACUGGUCAAAAUAAAAAGAACAAAUGAC